CUGGCGGCGUGCCUAACACAUGCAAGUCGAACGAGAAAGUCCCGCAAGGGAUGAGUACAGUGGCGCACGGGUGAGUAACACGUGACUAACCUACCUUCGAGUGGGGAAUAACCUCGGGAAACCGGGGCUAAUACCGCAUAACAUCAUCGGGUGAAAUUCCUGCUGAUCAAAAGUUUUUUGCUUGAAGAGGGGGUCGCGGCUGAUUAGCUAGUUGGUGAGGUGAUGGCUCACCAAGGCGAUGAUCAGUAGCCGGCCUGAGAGGGCGCACGGCCACACUGGAACUGAAACACGGUCCAGACUCCUACGGGAGGCAGCAGUGGGGAAUUUUGCGCAAUGGGGGAAACCCUGACGCAGCAACGCCGCGUGGAGGAUGAAGUCCCUUGGGACGUAAACUCCUUUCGACCGGGACGAAUUAUGACGGUACCGGAAGAAGAAGCCCCGGCUAACUUCGUGCCAGCAGCCGCGGUAAUACGAGGGGGGCAAGCGUUGUUCGGAAUUAUUGGGCGUAAAGGGCGCGUANGCGGUGCGGAAAGUCUUCAGUGAAAUCUCUGGGCUCAACUCAGAGUCUGCUGGGGAAA
rnacentral:rRNA from 1 species